ACGAACGCUGGCGGCGUGCCUAACACAUGCAAGUCGAGCGCGAAUGGAGCAAUCCUAGUAGCGCGGCGCACGGGUGCGUAACACGUGGGUAAUCUGCCUGGGAGACCGGAAUAACCUGCCGAAAGGCUGGCUAAUACCGGAUAAGCCCACGGACUCUUCGGAGUCUGAGGGAAAAGGUGGCCUCUGUAUACAAGCUAUCACUUCCAGAUGAGCCCGCGGCCCAUCAGCUCGUUGGCGGGGUAAAGGCCCACCAAGGCAACGACGGGUAGCUGGUCUGAGAGGACGAUCAGCCACACUGGAACUGAGACACGGUCCAGACUCCUACGGGAGGCAGCAGUGGGGAAUUUUGCACAAUGGGCGAAAGCCUGAUGCAGCAACGCCGCGUGUGUGAUGAAGGUCUUCGGAUCGUAAAGCACUUUCGACCGGACGAACCCGUU
rnacentral:rRNA from 1 species